ACAGGUAGCAACUUGGGUUGUAGUUUUGGCAAAUCUACACUGAUUAGCAGCAAACGAGUUGUGCUUCUCCUGUCACUUGUGUUUAUGCACCACUCUCCUUUGUGUGUGUGUGUUUUUUUUUUCCUACAGAUGGCUGCUUUUCUUAUCAACAUUGGGCAAAUUCAACAGUGUUAAAGGAUAGAAAAAGGACUCCUGUUUUUGCCAUCAUUCCUUGGCUCGAUCUACCAACUGACUCUUUCUCAAACCAGAUGCAAAUCUCUUUGACUCCUGAUGGUAUAAACUGUGGAUCUGGAGGGAUGCUGGAAAUGGUAAACACUCCUGAGAUAUCUAGAGAAGUUGAAGCAAAUAAUGAUGACGGAGCAUCGCUUCCAGUCUAAGCAGGUCUGCAGUGCCAACUCCACCUUUGGUCAAGUUGUCAUGUCGGCAUGGACCUGUUUCUGGGUCCUAUCUUUUGUGCUGUUGUGUGGUCUCCUGAAGCCAUAAAGCGAAGAGCAGAUAUGAAUUUUGUUUUCCUUUAAUAACGCAAAAUCACUGGCACUAAGUGAAGGACCUGCAGAACUCUAUUAUACUAUUCCUUCUACUUUUGUGUAUAUUUGUUCAUUUCCGUGAUAAAGAGUUAAGUAACCGUCUU
rnacentral:lncRNA from 1 species